GCAACAUUACAGUUAUGAAGUAACAACGAAAAUAAUUUUAUGGUUGGGGGUCACCACAACAUGAACUGUAUUAAUGAGUCGCGGCAUCAGGAAGGUUGAGAACCACUGGUCUAGAGGAAAAUGUAAAUAGCUAAUCAUUUUAUUUGAUUACGAAAGGGAGUGGAGGUGGCCUUCAAAGGGCUACAAAGAUAGCUGAAGCCUGUGAAAACAGAGGGAUGGAAAGUUCCAGAUCCAGAGGUCGUAUGUAUUUUUUUUUUUAGCAUUAGAAUUUUGUUGCUUCUCUUUUACAGGGUGAUUUGUGAUUCCCGAGUGAGGGUUGAACUAUCAACAGGCAUGCCUCGGAGAUCUUAUUUGGAUAGACCACCUGCCCGACAUCCCUUUGAUCCAAAUGAUAGAUGCUAUGAGUGUGGUGAAAAGGGACAUUAUGCUUAUUAUUGUCAUCGCUAUAGCCGACGAAGAAGAAGCAGAACGAGGAACACCAGAUUGACCACAUUUCCAACUAGAAAAAUCUUCUUGCGUCAAUCAAGCCUCACCUGGCUCAUUUGGCUGUCAGUUUGAUCGUCAUUAGAUUGAAGAAAACAUCUAGAUGCAGCGAUCGGCUAUCGAUACUUCUGUAUCAUCUAGAUCUACUAGACCACGGGCCAAAGAGGGUCGACCUGCAAACUUGCAAGGUCACGGUCUAGAUCACAUUCGAGAUCCAGAGGUAGACGAUAUUCUCGCUCACAGAGCAGGAGCAGGAGCAAGAGCAGGGCAAGGAGGUCGAGAUCAGCAUCUCCUCGACGAUCAAGAUCUGUAUCUCUUCGUAGAUCACGAUCCGCUUCACUCCGACGAUCUAGAUCUGGUUCUAUAAAAGGAUCGAGAUCUCGGUCAAGGUCAAGAUCAAGAUCCAGGUCUAUUUCACGACCAAGAAGCAGCCGAUCAAAGUCCAGAUCUCCAUCUCCAAAAGAGAAGCCUUGUGAUGGAGAAUCAAAAAAA